GUCAUGGUGGUGCAGUGAUUAGCACUGCCAGCACACAGCAAGAAGGUUGUGGGUUCGAUUCCGGCCUGGGGCC